CCUACGGGUGGCAGCAGUGGGGAAUAUUGCACAAUGGGGGAAACCCUGAUGCAGCGACGCCGCGUGAGUGAAGAAGUAUUUCGGUAUGUAAAGCUCUAUCAGCAGGGAAGAAAAUGACGGUAACUGAAUAAGAAACCCCGGCCCACUACGUGCCAGCAGGCGCGGUAAUACGUUGGGGGCAAGCGUUAUCCGGGUUUACCGGGGGUAAAGGGAGUGGAGACGGCAGCACCAGUCUGGAGUGAAAUGCCGGGGCUUAACCCCGGAACUGCUUUGGAAACUGUGCAGCUAGAGUGCAGGAGAGGUAAGUGGAAUUCCUAGUGUAGCGGUGAAAUGCGUAGAUAUUAGGAGGAACACCAGUGGCGAAGGCGGCUUACUGGACUGUAACUGACGUUGAGGCUCGAAAGCGUGGGGAGCAAACAGGAUUAGAUACCCCAGUAGUC
rnacentral:rRNA from 1 species